CAGAGUUGAAUACUCUGGGCUGCGACCGCGAAGAAGACGGCCACGAAACGCGGUGGGAGCGGCGGAAGUGGCGUCCUGACGGGCGCACUAUUCCACCAAGCGCGGGAAACAGGCGGUGGUGCGCAUUGACCGCCCGACUGAGGUGGCGCCGACGACGACGGCCAUGGCCUCCCGCAGAAAGCUACGUACAGCUUUGGAAGAAAGAAAACUCAAAGUGCUUGCACACAUCUCUUUGUCCGGCUCACGGGAGGUUACCAGUAGUAAGUGGCCAUUAGGAUUAAUCAGAACUUAGUACAAGAGAUCGUGCAUGUUCUUGGCUGACCUCACAGCGUAGCGCCAGGAAGGCUCUCUUGCUUCCUUUGACUGGUACCGAACUGCAUCAACGGCGACUAAGCGCCAUGUGGAUUCACACUGUCUGGUGCCAUGCCUGUAAAUGGAUUCGGCUACUUGGUCAAAAGGAUCAUCGUUUCUCGAUCUCACGUUUUUAAGAUUCCAAUUGAAUGAAUCUCAGCUAGAUGGAGAAUACUUGUGAUCCUGGUUGCAGUGUUUUGACUUUUCCUAUCCAUAUAAAUUUAGUAAAUUUAGUUUA